GUCCUUCUAUGUUUGCUAAUGUGGAGAGUAGAAUAUUGAAUAGCUUCAUCAUGGUAAUCAACGUCAAACCCUUCAGCAAUUAAUGGUGACUAUAAAGUAUACUCAAAUUGCUGAGAUUUUAGGAGCUGUAAAACCAUUUGUGAGUUGGUUCUUGAUAACAAUCAUGAACCAUUUUAUGUUUUCUAAUGUGGAGAGCAGAAUAUUGAAUAGCUUCAUCAUGAUGCAGAAACAGGGGAAGUGUGAUUUCUUACCGAGGGAUAAUCAUAUUUACUCUUUAAAUCUAUAGAGUAAGUCAAAUGCGAAAG